GAUGAACGCUGGCGGCGUGCCUAACACAUGCAAGUCGAACGGAGUCGUUUUGGAAAUCUCUUCGGAGAUGGAAUUCUCGACUUAGUGGCGGACGGGUGAGUAACGCGUGCGCAAUCUGCCUUUAAGAGGGGGAUAACCGUCGGAAACGGCUGCUAAUACCGCAUAAAGCAUUAAAUUCGCAUGUUUUUGAUGCCAAAGGAGCAAUCCGCUUUUAGAUGAGCUCGCGUCUGAUUAGCUAGUUGGCGGGGUAACGGCCCACCAAGGCGACGAUCAGUAGCCGGACUGAGAGGUUGAACGGCCACAUUGGGACUGAGACACGGCCCAGACGACUACGGGAGGCAGCAGUGGGGAAUAUUGCGCAGUGGGGGAAACCCUGACGCAGCAACGCCGCGUGAUUGAAGAAGGCCUUCGGGUUGUAAAGAUCUUUAAUCAGGGACGAAACAAAUGACGGUACCUGAAGAAUAAGCUCCGGCUAACUACGUG
rnacentral:rRNA from 1 species